rnacentral:rRNA from 1 species
UUUCUAGCUUGCUAGAUAGAUGACGAGUGGCGGACGGGUGAGUAAUACUUAGGAACAUGCCUUUGUGUGGGGGAUAACUAUUGGAAACGAUAGCUAAUACCGCAUAACGUCUUCGGACCAAAGGGGGCUUCGGCUCCCGCGCAAAGAGUAGCCUAAGCGAGAUUAGCUUGUUGGUGAGGUAAAGGCUCACCAAGGCGACGAUCUCUAGCUGUUCUGAGAGGAAGAUCAGCCACACUGGAACUGAGACACGGUCCAGACUCCUACGGGAGGCAGCAGUGGGGAAUAUUGCACAAUGGGGGAAACCCUGAUGCAGCCAUGCCGCGUGUGUGAAGAAGGCCUUCGGGUUGUAAAGCACUUUCAGUUGUGAGGAAAGGUUAACGGUUAAUACCCGUUAGCUGUGACGUUAGCAACAGAAGAAGGACCGGCUAACUCCGUGCCAGCAGCCGCGGUAAUACGGAGGGUCCGAGCGUUAAUCGGAAUUACUGGGCGUAAAGCGCACGCAGGCGGUUUGUUAAGCUAGAUGUGAAAGCCCUGGGCUCAACCUGGGAAUUGCAUUUAGAACUGGCAGGCUAGAGUUUUGGAGAGGGGAGUGGAAUUCCAGGUGUA